GGGGACGAGGGGGACAAGAUGGCCGAGGGUAGAGUCCAGCCCUGCAGCCUCAGCCUGGUCUCCAGGGACUGGCGCAUUUGCUAGAGAGCAAGGUCCUGUCUAUGUGGAAAUGGAUAGACAUGGGCAUGAGGGUCAAGCAACAGCCUCAGCCUGAUCUCCGGAGACUCCCAAAUGCACCAAACAGAACACUCAGCUUCUCCCUGCCCCUCCUUGGCUGUAAGCGUACCACGGAGAAGAGAGGCCCCCAACACCACGCCCAUUCUCCCUCAUCCCUCCCGAUGCUCUCCACUCACCGAGUAGGAGCGGACACUGCCAGACCGAACUCUGCUCAAGCUGAACCCCACCUGAUGGAAAAAGAGGAGAAGGGAAGGGCUCCCAAACUGUCCUCAGCAGCAGAAGAAACGAAGCCUCGUUCUGCUCUGCUCCAAGACAGGGACUAGCCAGGUCGCCCUGGGUGGUAAGGUACUCACCAUAUUGUCCAGGUUGGAGUUGAACUUUCAAACUUGCAGCAACCCUACUGCUGCCUCAGCAUGCAGCACCGCUACUGGCUCAUCUCACAGGUACUGAACACCCACUAUGUGCUAGCUUCUCAAUGUCCUGCCCCAUCCUGGACCCACAACGCUCAUGCAGAAUGCACUUCCUGAUUGGUUUGACCCACCUAAAAGGUUAAUGGUGCUGGGCAGAACAGAGCACGCUUGCAAUUCCAAGGGCUCUGGACUUGAGGCAGAAGGGGCUUGACUUUGAGACUAACUAUAUGAGACCCUGUCAUAAGAGAAGCUGUCAGGAGAGGCUGCUUGCCAGGCGCAGGAGUGCACGCCUUUUAAUCCCAGCACUGUGACGGUGGAUCUGUGAGCUCAAGGUCUACAUAUUGAGUUCCAAGACCCUGUCUUGAACAUUACCUCUCUGCCAAAAAAACCACAAGGCCACUCCCAAUGGGUCAUUUAUAUCACACCUCUUCACCCAAGGCUCAGGGAAUGAAACUGAGGAGGAGGAGGAGGAGGAGGAGGAAAAGGAAGAGAAAGAGGAAGAGGAAGAGUCAAGACUGUAAAGGCAGAGGCUGAGGAGGGCAAGAGGGGAACAUUGUCCUCUGAACACAGCAGACUGUUGCUUAUGAACUCACAGCAGCUGUGGUUGCCCACACAGGAUCGAGUCAGUCAACAUUCCAGCAUGGAGGGAAGAGGGGUGUUUGAACCCCUACACCUAACUGGGGAGCUGUGGACAGCUAGCUGAUAGAUGCUGAGUGAGUGAGGGUGUGGCCCCAGGAGAAACAAACAAACAAACAAACAAGAGCACCGGCCUUAGAUCCCAGCACUUGGGAGACAGAGGUUGGCAGAUCUCUGAGUCUGUGGCCAGCCUGGUCUACACAGAGUUCCUGGCUAUCUGGGGCUACAUAGUGAGGCCAUAUCUUUUUUUUUUUUUUUUUUUUUUUUAAAGGACAUGAGAUUGGGAGGAGUUUGGGAAGGUGGGAAUGGAUUUUGGAGGAGUUAGGGGGAGAAGCGUGUAUGAUUAAAAUGCAUUAUAUACAUGCAUAUAUGUUACAUAUAUACUGGCUGGCUAAUUUCUGAUCCUCCUGCCUAAGCCAGCAGGGACACUAAGAUGACAAAUCUGUACCCUCAAACCCAGACUGCAUGAGACACUGUAUUCAUUCUUAGGUGACAGGUGGGGAAGGCUAUGAGACUGGCCACAGAUCACACCGGUGAGGGACAGAGCUAAGACAGAAUCCCAGAACUUGCACACUGAGUCCUCCCAUGAGCCCCCUCACCUUUGGCAACUUCUUUUCUGUCUCCUGGAGGCUGAGUCGCAGUAAGCUCAGCUCUACUUCCAGGGAACCAUUGGUGUAGAAUCCGAAGCUGUUCAGUUGGAUGUCAGCUCGCUUCUCCCCCUGCAGGAAACCAAAGACACAGUGGCACAAGGGCACUCUCCCCACCAAGUCCAGCACGACGGCGUGUUUCCCUGAGCGUCUCUAUACAUUUUUAUUCAGGACAGGAGCAUGUGAGAAAGCCUUCCUGGGUACAUCGUAUUGGUGCUGGUGACAUUUUCCUACUUCAGUCCGAGGCAGCUAGAGGGUGGGGUUGUGUGUCCAUGGGGUGAAACCCUGGCAACCCCAUGACAGUCCCCAUAUAGACGUGCACCACCCCGAGAGCGGGCUACAUAGGCUGGUGUGACUAGUUUCGACUUUCCAGAAAAGUUUUCGAUUCUAUCUGGGCUAAAUUUUGAAAGUAGUCUCCUGUCACUCCCCUAAGUGAAUUCCAGGAAGAUCCUACCAGGUGGUACCCCUUCCUCCCAGGUCCUAUGGUUGUUACCAAGUGUUCCCUGAAAGUUUAAGCGCCAGGAGUCAGGGGUCCCAGGAGAUGAAGCCCCGCCCUCUA
rnacentral:lncRNA from 1 species